rnacentral:rRNA from 1 species
AAAAACAUGUCCUUUAGAGUUUAAUUUAAGGUCUAACCUGCCCACUGAUAAAAUUAAAUGGCCGCAGUAUUUUAACUGUGCAAAGGUAGCAUAAUCAUUAGUCUUUUAAUUGAAGGCUUGUAUGAAUGGUUGGACGAAAUAUUAACUGUUUCAUAAAAAUUUAUUUAGAAUUUUAUUUUUUAGUUAAAAAGCUAAAAUUUUUUUAAAAGACGAGAAGACCCUAUAGAUCUUUAUAAUUUAUUUAUUAUAGUUAUAUAGAUUAUUUAAAUUAUGAUUUUAUAAGUUAUUUUGUUGGGGUGACAUUAAAAUUUAAUAAACUUUUAAUAAAUUUUUACAUUAAUUUAUGAGUAAUUGAUCCAUUAUUAGUGAUUAUAAAAUUAAGUUACCUUAGGGAUAACAGCGUAAUUUUUUUGAAGAGUUCAUAUCGAUAAAAAAGAUUGCGACCUCGAUGUUGGAUUAAGAUAUAAUUUUGGGUGCAGCAAUUCAAUAAUUAAGUCUGUUCGACUUUUAAUUUCUUACAUGAUCU